GGGCCUGCUCGGUGAUUAAUAUUUAACAGCUGCGGUAUUAUAACUGUACUAAGGUAGCAUAAUAAUUUGCUCUAUAAAUUGGGGCUAGAAUGAAUGGUUUGACGAGAAUUUAACUGUCUCUAUUUUAUUUAUUAGAAAUUAAUUUUUAUAGUGAAAAAGCUUUAAUUAUUUAAAGGGACGAAAAGACCCUAUUGAGCUUUUGUUAUUAUAUAGAUAUAUAUAUGUAUAUAUAUAUGAUUUAUUUGUAAAUAACUUUGGUUGGGGUGAUCAAGGAAUAAAAAUUAAUUUAAAGUGUUUUAUUAACUUCCUUAAUUUUAAAUUUAGUUGAAGAAUAAACCAAGUUUUUUGCUUAGAAGAUAAGUUACCAUAGGGAUAACAGCGUAAUUUUUUUUGAGAGUUCAUAUUG
rnacentral:rRNA from 1 species